rnacentral:rRNA from 1 species
UACGGGGGGGGCAAGCGUUGUUCGGAAUUACUUGGCGUAAAGGGCUCGUAGGUGGCCAACUAAGUCAGACGUGAAAUCCCUCGGCUUAACCGGGGAACUGCGUCUGAUACUGGAUGGCUUGAGUUCGGGAGAGGGAUGCGGAAUUCCAGGUGUAGCGGUGAAAUGCGUAGAUAUGCGGAGGAACACCGAUGGCGAAGGCAAUCCCCUGGGCCUGCACUGACGCUCAUGCACGAAAGCGUGGGGAGCAAACUGG